AAAUAUCUUUUUCCCCUGCAGUGUAACAGUUCUGCUCAGUGAGAGCAGCUCAGUAAGAUGGUGGGCAGCCUGCACUGCCAUCUCUUCUGCAUUGUGGCUCAUAAUAAUUAAUACAUGCUUAUAGAAGGGCACCUCAUCUCUAAUUUUAAAAUGGCCUUUCUAAGUUUGCUGGUAAACUGAGAAGACAGGAAAAGGUGGGAACAGCACUGUGACCAAGGCAAUUCAAUGCAGCCAAAUCUGAAUAAGCAGUCAAUGGUGGCACACUUGACACUGAAGCCAGAAAGAGUCAGGCAUGGGGACUAGAAAAGCUGCUGGCUCAAAACCAUUGGUGUAUUCCCUAAAGAGGAAUCAACUGCCAAGGAUUUGCCAGGUGCUGGUUCUGCCUCCCACUUUAUCCUAAAGGCCAGGAGCUAAUGCCAUUUUCUUGACGGAGAUGUAUUUCACUUCAGCUUGAAUCAUUGCUGCUCAUUCUACCACAGUUGUGGAAGACAGAGCUAAUACAAACAAGCUUAGAUUGAAACAUCACUUCUAUGGCAGCACUUGGAAAGCUUUCCUUUCUGUUGCUCCUUCAAGCAACAUCUACUUCUUGUAUUGCAUGAUCUGCAGUCUUUUGAGAGUGGAGUAUAGCCAAGGGCUUCACCUCAGUAAGAUCAAUAGGUAAAAUAUGUACUUCUUGGCAUAGAGUGUUGAAAUAUUGUUUGAACAGCCAAAGGAGACUUGGUUUUCUGUCAAGGUCUCUUUGCUGACGCUGCUGCUUAUUGUGACCCAGCUGUAGGCCAUGAGGACAGCAGCUCUACCAUGUCAGAGUUCCUAAGAACAUUUCUCAUGAGAAUCAUCAGCAUUUGCUGCCAAGAUACCCACAACUCUGAUGAUGCUUUUGUCGGCUGUUUUUGCUUCAAAGGAUACAGUGUCAUUGAAAGACUAAUGCACAGGAUCACAAUUCAUGUCACUUUUGGGGAAGACAGGGAAUCAUCAAGAGAAGACUGUGGGAUGCUAUUUUAAAGAUAAAGCUUUGUAUUCAAAUUCAUUUAGGUAGUUAAUGCAUGAAUGGAUGUGGUUUUUCAGCAGUUCAGCUGUAGAAGAUAAAAAUAGCAUUUUUUUUAAUUGAGGGAAUAUACUCGUUGAUUAUCAGUAGAAAAAAGAGGAAUAUAUUAAACUGCAGCAGGUGAACAUCAUACAAAGUUCUCUUGUUAAUAAGACCGCAUUGAUAGAUCUACAGACUUUACAUUACAGAGUGAUUAUUUCACUGUCUCAUCAGACCUGUAGAUCAAAACUGUGAAACUUCACAGCAUUACCUCUGAGGUGAAAUAGAACUACGCAAAGCAUGUUGGUGAAGCAGAAAAGAAGAUGCUAUUCAAGUUGACAGGAGAUUUAUAGCUUUGGAUCAAAUCCACCUUCCUUCAGUUUUAAACUGAAGUGCCAUUUUCUCAUUUCUGGGCUUUGGCUAAGUGUAUUGUAUUUCAGUUUAUCCAUGAAAAUGACCUGUUUUGUUUCUUCUAGACUUAGUCCAUAACAUGAUAUGCAUAACAGCACAAGUGCGUAAGUUGUCAAAACCAUGGCCCCUCCAAAUAAUAAUAAUAAUAAUAAUACAAAGAAACAAUGAUCAUUUAAAAACCACAGUUCUGGCACGAGGAUUUCAAACAACAAAAGUUCCUAAUACUUCUUGUUUCAGAGGUUGAUCACUCAUUCUGUAUGAAAAGUGCCUAAUUUCUCACACAAAUUGACGUGGCCUCAGCUUUCAGCCUUUAUCAUACUUUCCUUGGCUGUUAAAAGACCCUCAAUUUUCUUUUCAUAAAUGCACUUAUGCACUGUAGUCUGAUUCUGAAUUUUAUUUUUAAUGGCCUAAACCUGUUGAACUCUUUAAGUCCUCAUAAUAGGGUAUUUUCUACAGGACUUGAACAAUUCAGUGACUCUGUUUUUAAGAGCAGCGAUUUUUUCAAAUGUAUCUAGCUUUUUAAUGCAUUCAUCUUUGCUAUGGAGAAAAAUGAAGCCAUCACCCAUUUUUCCUACAUUUAUACAUCCUCAGUUUAUAUUAGCCCUUUUGCUGCAGCAUUGCAGUGGAAAUGUGUUCUAUUGCUUGCCCACUUUGACCCUAAAUCAUUUCAAAGUGGUUGCUUUUCAAGACGCUGUUUUAAAUAUAUUUCAAAAUGCUGUUCUGCUGUGUGCCCUAGGUUUCUAGGUCUGCAGUAGCCAAAACUUACGUCCAUUUUGUCUGAAAAGCGUGGCUUAUCAAACAAGAGAGAUCAUUCUGUACAUGCAUUCUGUCUUCAUUUAUAUGUGCCAACACUGGUGUUACACGUGAAUGUUAUCUACAAUACCUUCUAUUUUCAAAUUAUUAACUGAAAUAGUAAUCGGAUUUAAGCUUCAUGCUAAUGUAAUCAGAUACAUCCCCACUCGAUGAAGAUUAUUUAUCACCAAGUGUUUGAGAUGUCUGCUUUAGGAACAAGUUACAUACUUUAAUUUCUUUGCAUGUAUACAUUUAAUCCCAAUACAUCUGCUACUGCUUCUGCAUUCCUGGAUGCUCCUUGUCCCUCCCUGACAUGUGCUUCCUGCCCUGUACUCUGAUUCAUUGUUUAUGUUAUCCUUGUGCUCCUGGCUCUCCCAAAAAGUCCAUCUCAGCUGCAAUUCAACACAGAUUCUCUCACUUUUUUUUCCCUUGAUGGUAUUUUGAGAUACCUUCCCUGACCUAUAGUUCAAAUUACAAUAUAGAAAUAGUAUUGC
rnacentral:lncRNA from 7 species